rnacentral:lncRNA from 1 species
GGCAAAUAAAUAAUUUACUACACACGCCAUGCCGCUUUCAUACAUCAUUUUCCUAUCAAUUUGAAUGCCAUUAAUUGAAUGCAACUAUUCACAAGCUUUGACUUUGUAAUGGUCACUAAUCAUAUAAUAAUAAUAAUUUUAAUCACUGGGGUUUCCACCACUUCCGCCGCAGCUAGCUCCUCCUCCACGUAAAUUCAAUAAAUAAAGUAUAUAAUUAAGAAAUCUCAGUAACUUACACUGCAAUUCAAUUUCUGUAUCCAACUCUAGAUGCUUUUCCAAAAAAAAGUCUGUAUACAGUACAAGCUAGCUAGUUAGCUACCUGACUAAAUGAAUUAAUCAACAAUUUUAUACUAACUAAAUACAUUACAAGGAUGUAAAUAAAAAUAUCUCUAUUAAUUACUAAAAUAAAUUUAAAGCAAAAAAAAAACAACAAAUUUCGGUUGCUGAAGACUUGUUGAUCAAUUGUGAAGCGGGUUGGGACCGGCCGGCACUGUUCUAUAAGAGGAUCCGUAAACCCGGUCUGGUUCUCUGGUUCCCUGCGGAGACUCUGCCUUGGGAAAAUAGAAAUUAUGCGAGGGCGACGACGAAGAAGAAUAAGAAGACGACAUUUGAUGAUUUGAUUGCUUGAAUUCGCCGUUGCUGUCUGGAGUAGUGGUGAAGCGGAGGUGGCGGCAGGUGCAGGGGGAGAGUUCCGGCGCGAGAAUUACGAGGAGGAGCAGAAAUAGCGGCACCCGAUUUGGAGUUGUCAUGAUUUUAUCGGAGGGAGAAGUGAGUUGGGGGGCGGAGGAGAAAGGGGGGAAGCUAGCUAGUUUUUCACUCAGAGCACAAAAAAUAGAAGCUUGUCUUUUGGGGGAGACUAUGUCUCUCUCUCUUUCUGUGUAUUAAGGAAUGGGGGUGGGAUGAAAACAAAAGGACAUUUUCAUGUGGGAGGCAAUUUGUCUGGGGUUUGUCC